rnacentral:rRNA from 1 species
CAGCCGCCGCGGGAAUACAGAGGGUGCAAGCGUUAAUCGGAAUUACUGGGCGUAAAGCGCACGCAGGCGGUUUGUUAAGUCAGAUGUGAAAUCCCCGAGCUUAACUUGGGAACUGCAUUUGAAACUGGCAAGCUAGAGUCUUGUAGAGGGGGGUAGAAUUCCAGGUGUAGCGGUGAAAUGCGUAGAGAUCUGGAGGAAUACCGGUGGCGAAGGCGGCCCCCUGGACAAAGACUGACGCUCAGGUGCGAAAGCGUGGGGAGCAAACAGGAUUAGAUACCCGAGUAGUCCCUGUCUCUUAUAC